CCCUCUCUCUUCCCUUUUUGAACCCGCUGAUCAGCAGUCUGAAAUGGGGCUGGAUCGGGCACACCGGAAGAAAACCACCCUCCAACACGACCAGACAGGCCUUCACCUGGAACCCACAAGGAAAAAGAAAGCCACGAAGACCAAGAAACAGCUGGAAAAGGUCUGUCGAGGCAGAACUCAAGAAAGCAACAACAUCGUGGAAGGAAGCAGAGAAGAUCGCCCAACACCGAACCAGUUGGAGGAAAUUCAUGAAUGACCUAUGCUC